rnacentral:rRNA from 1 species
GCCUACAGCCAUACCACCCUGAAUGUACCCACUCCUGUUUGCUCUACUAAGUUAAGCAAGGUCAGGUCUGGUUAGUACUUGGAUGGGAGAAAUUAAGGAGGAGGAGACA